rnacentral:rRNA from 1 species
UAGGGAAUUUUGGGCAAUGCACGAAAGUGUGACGGAGCAAUGCCGCGUGUGGGAUGAAGCGGUUUUGCCGUGUAAACCACUGUCAGGACCUAGGAAGAACUGACCAGGUCCAAAGGAAGGGCCGGCUAAUCUCGUGCCAGCAGCCGCGGUAAUACGAGAGGCCCGAGCGUUAGGCGGAAUCACUGGGCUUAAAGGGUGCGUAGGUGGAUGCGCAAGCGUCUUGUGAAAGCCCUCGGCUCAACCGAGGAAUUGCGGGGCGAACUGCGUGUCUUGAUGCAGGUAGAGGUCGUUGGAACGUUAGGUGGAGCGGUGAAAUGCGUUGAUAUCUAACGGAACACCGAAGGGGUAACCAGGCGACUGGACCUGUCCUGACACUGAGGCACGAAAGCGUGGGGAUCAAACAGGAUUAGAUACCCCCGUAGUCCCUGAGCGGGCUGGCAAGGCGCAU